UACGUAGGAUGCAAGCGUUGUCCGGAUUUACUGGGCGUAAAGCGCGCGCAGGCGGCAAGGUAAGUAAGGUGUGAAAUAUCCCGGCUCAACCGGGAGGGUGCACUUUAGACUGCUUUGCUUGAGGUCGGUAGAGGGGGGUGGAAUUGCUGGUGUAGCGGUGAAAUGCGUAGAGAUCAGCAGGAACACCCGUGGCGAAGGCGGCCCCCUGGGCCGGUCACCUGACGCUGAGGCGCGAAGGCUAGGGGAGCGAACGGG
rnacentral:rRNA from 1 species